UCAUGCAUCCAGUAAAUCAUUAAUUUUUGUGGUUUAUUAAAAAAAAAAUUCCAUUCUAUAAAACAGAUGAUGCAUGGAUUUCUUUCGUGGGUCAGUGGAACUGUGUGCAUUGUGGUUACCUUGUACACAGAGUUCCUACUGACCCACUCUAACGCAUCAUUUGUAUAUAGAUGGCUACUAUUUUUUAUUAAAUCGCGAGUGUAGACCUAAAUGUAAUUAUAGAAAAACAUUUCGUUAAGGUUUUUAUUUUUUUGA